rnacentral:rRNA from 1 species
GACAGAGGGUGCGAACGUUGUUCGGAAUUACUGGGCGUAAAGCGCGUGUAGGCGGCAGCGCAAGUCGGGCGUGAAAUCCCACGGCUCAACCGUGGAAGUGCACUCGAAACUGCGCAGCUAGAGUCCUGGAGAGGAAGGUGGAAUGCUUGGUGUAGAGGUGAAAUUCGUAGAUAUCAAGCGGAACACCGGUGGCGAAGGCGGCCU